rnacentral:rRNA from 1 species
UACAGAGGUCUCAAGCGUUGUUCGGAUUCAUUGGGCGUAAAGGGUGUGUAGGUGGCGCGCUAAGUCGGGUGUGAAAUUUCGGAGCUUAACUCCGAAACUGCAUUCGAUACUGGCGUGCUUGAGGACUGGAGAGGAGACUGGAAUUCAUGGUGUAGCAGUGAAAUGCGUAGAGAUCAUGAGGAAGACCAGUGGCGAAAGCGGGUCUCUGGACAGUUCCUGACACUGAGACACGAAGGCCAGGGGAGCAAACGGG